rnacentral:rRNA from 1 species
AUACGUAGGUGGCGAGCGUUGUCCGGAAUUACUGGGCGUAAAGCGUGCGCAGGCGGUUUCGUAAGACAGGCGUGAAAUCCCCGGGCUUAACCUGGGAACUGCGCUUGUGACUGCGAGGCUAGAGUACGGCAGAGGGAGGUAGAAUUCCACGUGUAGCAGUGAAAUGCGUAGAGAUGUGGAGGAAUACCGAUGGCGAAGGCAGCCUCCUGGGCCAGUACUGACGCUCAUGCACGAAAGCGUGGGGAGCAAACAGGAUUAGAUACCCUGGUAGUCCACGCCCUAAACGAUGUCAACUAGGUGUUGGUGGGGUUAAACCCAUUAGUACCGCAGCUAACGCGUGAAGUUGACCGCCUGGGGAGUACGGCCGCAAGGUUAAA